rnacentral:rRNA from 1 species
UACGUAGGGCGCAAGCGUUAUCCGGAAUUAUUGGGCGUAAAGAGCUCGUAGGCGGUUUGUCGCGUCUGCCGUGAAAGUCCGGGGCUCAACUCCGGAUCUGCGGUGGGUACGGGCAGUCUAGAGUGAUGUAGGGGAGACUGGAAUUCCUGGUGUAGCGGUGAAAUGCGCAGAUAUCAGGAGGAACACCGAUGGCGAAGGCAGGUCUCUGGGCAUUAACUGACGCUGAGGAGCGAAAGCAUGGGGAGCGAACAGG